rnacentral:rRNA from 1 species
GACGAACGCUGGCGGCGUGCUUAACACAUGCAAGUCGAACGGAAAGGCCCUGCUUUUGUGGGGUGCUCGAGUGGCGAACGGGUGAGUAACACGUGAGUAACCUGCCCUUGACUUUGGGAUAACUUCAGGAAACUGGGGCUAAUACCGGAUAGGAGCUCCUGCUGCAUGGUGGGGGUUGGAAAGUUUCGGCGGUUGGGGAUGGACUCGCGGCUUAUCAGCUUGUUGGUGGGGUAGUGGCUUACCAAGGCUUUGACGGGUAGCCGGCCUGAGAGGGUGACCGGCACCAUGGGUACUGAGACACGCCCAAGCCCCCGCGGGGGGACAGCAGGGGGGAAUUGUGAAAAAGGGGAGGAGCCCUGAUGAAGACCCCCCCGGUGGGGUAUGACGCCCUUGGGUUUUAAAACCGUUUCCGCUUGUGACAAAGCGGGAGGGAGGGUAGGGAAAAAAGAACCCCCGGCUAACUACGUC